AUGAUGCAGCGCCCAGAGGAGGUGUAUGAAAGCAUCAAGCUAGAUUAUGAUGUCAGCACAACCAUUCAAGCUAAUGUCCUUAAAUCUUGUGAACUUGGGACUCAGUAUGUUGCCCUAGAGAGGGAGAAGAUCGAACUCCAACUGGAUCUAGAACUCUCCAAGAAGAAUUUGAAGGAUGCUCAGGAUGAAGUGAAGACCAUGGGAGACACUGUCGGUGUCAAAACCGGCAGAUCUCGGGUAGGGGUCCCGAACUGUGCAUCUAGGCUGGAUGGUAACAGGAGGCAGUGGACACGACGUUUUACCCAGGUUCGGGCCCUCUUGAUGGAGAGAGACUUCAGUCUCACUAGUAUUUCCGCGUGGUCUUCGACGUUUAGCUUGUUACCUCAGCUACGAUCUUGUGCCUCGGCAGGAUUUGGUAGAUAG
rnacentral:rRNA from 1 species